GACGAACGCUGGCGGCGUGCCUAAUACAUGCAAGUCGAGCGGGCCUCCGGAGGUGCUUGCACCUCCGGAAGGCCAGCGGCGGACGGGUGAGUAACACGUGGGCAACCUGCCUUUGAGGCCGGGAUAACACCGGGAAACCGGUGCUAAUACCGGAUACGUCCUCUUUCGCGCCUGCGAGAGGGGUGAAAGACGGUCUUUAAGGCCGUCGCUCAAAGAGGGGCCCGCGGCGCAUUAGCUGGUUGGUGGGGCAAGGGCCUACCAAGGCGACGAUGCGUUGCCGACCUGAGAGGGUGAUCGGCCACACUGGGACUGAGACACGGCCCAGACUCCUGCGGGAGGCAGCAGUAGGGAAUUGUUCGCAAUGGGCGCAAGCCUGACGACGCAACGCCGCGUGGAGGAUGAAGAUCUUCGGGUCGUAAACUCCUUUCGAUCGAGACGAAUUCCUCGGGGGUGAACAAUCUCCGAGGUUGACGGUACCGAGAGAAGAAGCCCCGGCUAACUCCGCGCCAGCCGCCGCGGUAAUAC
rnacentral:rRNA from 1 species